UACGAAGGGUGCAAACGUUGCUCGGAAUUAUUGGGCGUAAAGCGCACGUAGGCGGCUAUCUAAGUCGGAUGUGAAAUCCCUCGGCUUGACCAAGGAAGUGCACCCGAAACUGGAUAGCUUGAGUACAGAAGAGGAUCGCGGAAUUCCCGGUGUAGAGGUGAAAUUCGUAGAUAUCGGGAGGAACACCAGUGGCGAAGGCGGCGAUCUGGGCUGAUACUGACGCUGAGGUGCGAAAGCGUGGGGAGCAAACAGG
rnacentral:rRNA from 1 species